GCCAGUGUGGCAUAGCAGUUUGAGUGUUGGACUGUGACUCUCUGGAGAGCGGGGUUCAAAUCCCUGCUCAGCCA